rnacentral:rRNA from 1 species
UACGAAGGGGGCGAGCGUUGUUCGGAAUUACUGGGCGUAAAGGGCGCGUAGGCGGCGAUCCUAGUCAGAUGUGAAAGUCCUGGGCUUAACCUGGGGACUGCAUUUGAUACUGGAUUGCUUGAAUGCAGGAGAGGAUAGCGGAAUUCCCAGUGUAGAGGUGAAAUUCGUAGAUAUUGGGAAGAACACCGGUGGCGAAGGCGGCUAUCUGGACUGUGGAUUGACG